CGGACAAAAGCCCGCUGGAUUGGGUGUUUAGCUGUUAACUAAAUUUUUGCGGGAUCGAGUCCCGCUUGUCUAG
rnacentral:tRNA from 1 species